CCUACGGGUGGCUGCAGUGGGGAAUAUUGCACAAUGGGCGCAAGCCUGAUGCAGCCAUGCCGCGUGUGUGAAGAAGGCCUUCGGGUUGUAAAGCACUGUCAGCGGGGAGGAAGGCGUUAAGGUUAAUAACCUUGUCGAUUGACGGUACCCGCAGAAGAAGCAACGGCUAACUCCGUGCCAGCAGCCGCGGUAAUACGGAGGGUGCAAGCGUUGAUCGGAAUUACUGGGCGUAAAGCGCACGCAGGCGGUCUGUCAAGUCGGAUGUGAAAUCCCCGGGCUCAACCUGGGAGCUGCAUUCGAAACUGGCAGGCUAGAGUCUUGUAGAGGGGGGUAGAAUUCCAGGUGUAGCGGUGAAAUGCGUAGAGAUCUGGAGGAAUACCGGUGGCGAAGGCAGCCCCCUGGACAAAGACUGACGCUCAGGUGCGAAAGCGUGGGGAGCAAACAGGAUUAGAUACCCGAGUAGUC
rnacentral:rRNA from 1 species